GCCAUCUAGCAUCGCGGUUGCAACGGCGUCUUCCCCACUCCUGCUCUGCUCUCGUCCCCUACAUGAGCACGUUGCUGGACCCGGGCUCAUCUUCGAGGGGCACAAUCUGCUGGUGACAUAGCUGUUCACAUCCUCCGUUAAAGCCGUCCGUGCAGUCGAUGCCCCUGGAGUAGUCAUAGCAACCGGCGCCAUCCUUCAUCGGCCUCAGCCCAUUAGGACACUGCAUGGGAGACACGGGCAAAGAGGAAGGGGAGGAAGAGAGGGAAGCGGGGUGAUAAGGGAGACAGAAGAAGUGAGCGAGGCACACAGGUCAGCACAUGCAUUUUAAUCAGGAGCCACUAAGGAGGUGCAGGUAGCAGCAAAGAUCAGAGUGGAGGAGUGAGCAGUGACUGUCAAAAGAGGAAAUCAAAGAAGUUUUAGAGAAAAAAAAAAGGAAAAAAAAAAAAAAACAGCUAAAUUAGUAUAUUCCCCAGCCUGUUCACGGAUUGAUGUUUCACAUUUGAAGACUGUUUUAUGUCAUAUCAACAGCCCCACAUACUUUUGUAUUCUUUGAUUUAUAUUAUCAGAGCGGUGUUAAUUGAACAAAAUGGCAUUGUGGAUCAAAGACUCAACUUUUUUUUUUUUUUUUUUUUU